rnacentral:lncRNA from 1 species
GGCGGGGGGGGGGGGCGCCGAGCGCGUCCUCGCUCCGGGGCGCCGGCGGUCCGUUCGCAUGCACCAUUGGAAAAACCGCGCAACCGAGGCGGUCGGCGAGUCAAGUCUCGGUGUUGGCUCUUCCCAGAGCUGCUCGCAGAGAGAAAGUCCCCAAGAGACCGAAAGCACCAGACGGAGCAACAGUGAUGGACAGAGCAACACUAGCUAUUCACAGCUUGGUUUGUUCCCCUCGGCUUCUUACAGAUACAGUAGCCGCCGCCGCCGCCGCCGCUUCCUCUUCUCGCCUCGCCGGCAGCACCGGGAAAGAGCGGCGCCGGAGAAAAGGAGUCCUCGGGCCCGAGCCGGGGGGAGCGGCCGUCGCCUCGCUGCAGCCCGCGGCGUUUCCCGCGGCGUUUCCCAUGGAGUUUCCUGCAGCGUUUCCCAUGGCGGUCCCUGCGGCGUUUCCCGCGGCGUUCCCUGCGGCGUUUCCCAUGGAGUUUCCUGCAGCGUUUCCCAUGGCGGUCCCUGCGGUCUCCGCCGCCGCUCAGAUCCGUUUCUCGUGGCGUUUCCCGCGGCGUUUCCUGCAGCGCUUCCUGCAGCUUUUCCCGCGGUCUCUGACACUCCUCGGAUCUGUCUCCUGCGGCAUUUCCUGCAGCAUUUCCUGCAGCGUUUCCCCUGCAGCGUUUCCCGCAGUCUCCACCGCCACUCGGACCCGUUUCCCGCAGCGUUUCCUGCAGUCUUCACCGCCACUUGGACCUGUUUCCCGCGGCGUUUCCCACGGUGUUUCCCGUGGUCUCCGCUGCUGACCCGUUUCCCACGGCGUUUCCCCGUGGCGUUUCCCACGGUCCCCGCCGCCGCUCAGGACCCGUUUCCCGCGGCUUCGGGCCGCCCCGGCUCCGGAAAAAGCACCGUGGCGGCGGGGGCGACGGCCGUCGGCUCGGCUGGGGCGAGCUCCACCGCGAGCUGGGGCUACUGUAUCUGUAAGAAAAGAUUCCUCAAGUUGCAGAAUACGUAAUUCAGUUCGUUGGAAAACCCUGGCGUCGGAGCGCGCGCACGCUCCCAGGUGGCCGUCGAGCCGGGAUUCCCACCAGCCGGCACGCGCGCGAGCUGUACAGGUUCGUCCAUCUCCUUGUAAGCUGGUUUGGUGUUCUGGGUUGGUUUUUUUUUUGUUUGCUUGCUUGGUUUUUUUUUGUUAUUUUAAGAUCCGCUCCGUUGUCG